UACGGAAGGCAGCAGUGGGGAAUAUUGCACAAUGGGCGCAAGCCUGAUGCAGCCAUGCCGCGUGUAUGAAGAAGGCCUUCGGGUUGUAAAGUACUUUCAGUCGUGAGGAAGGUGUUAAGGUUAAUAACCUUAGCAAUUGACGUUAGCGACAGAAGAAGCACCGGCUAACUCCGUGCCAGCAGCCGCGGUAAUACGGAGGGUGCGAGCGUUAAUCGGAAUUACUGGGCGUAAAGGGCACGCAGGCGGUUAAUUAAGUUGGAUGUGAAAUCCCCGGGCUUAACCUGGGAAUGGCAUUCAAGACUGGUUAGCCUAGAGUCUUGUAGAGGGGGUAGAAUUCCAUGUGUAGCGGUGAAAUGCGUAGAGAUGUGGAGGAAUACCGGUGGCGAAGGCGGCCCCUGGACAAAGACUGACGCUCAUGUGCGAAAGCGUGGGGAGCAAACAGGGAUUAGAUACC
rnacentral:rRNA from 1 species